CGGGGAUACUCAUAUAAGACGAGAAGACCCCAUGGAGCUUCAAACCCAACUACACCCCUAGCUCUUAUAGCCCCACAACCCCCCUAGGCACCGUGUGCUUGGUUUUAGGUUGGGGCGACCGCGGAGUACAAUAAAACCUCCACAAUGAAUGGGAACACCCCCUUAUCUGAGGGCCACACCCCCUAAGAAUUAGAACACUAACAUAAAAUGAUCCAUUACUUGAUCAAUGAACCAAGUUACCCUGGGGAUAACAGCGCAAUCCAUUUCAAGAGCCCCUAUCGACAAAUGGGUUUACGACCUCGAUGUUGGAUCAGGGUACCCCAGUGGUGCAGCAGCUACUAACGGUUCGUUUGUUCAACGAUUAAAACCCU
rnacentral:rRNA from 1 species